UACGUAGGGGGCUAGCGUUGUCCGGAAUCAUUGGGCGUAAAGCGCGUGUAGGCGGUCCGGUAAGUCCGCUGUGAAAGUCGGGGGCUCAACCCUCGGAUGCCGGUGGAUACUGUCGGGCUCGAGUACGGAAGAGGCGAGUGGAAUUCCUGGUGUAGCGGUGAAAUGCGCAGAUAUCAGGAGGAACACCAAUUGCGAAGGCAGCUCGCUGGGACGUUACUGACGCUGAGACGCGAAAGCGUGGGGAGCGAACAGG
rnacentral:rRNA from 1 species